AGCAGCCGCGGUAAUUCCAGCUCCAAUAGCGUAUAUUAAAGUUGUUGCAGUUAAAAAGCUCGUAGUUGAAUUUCGGGGUCAGUAGGUCGGUCGUGCCACAGGUAUGCACUGGUCUCACUGAUUCCUCCUUCCUGAUGAACCGUAAUGCCAUUAAUUUGGUGUUGCGGGGAGACUGGACUGUUACUUUGAAAAAAUUAGAGUGUUUAAAGCAGGCUAACGCUUGAAUACAUUAGCAUGGAAUAACGGAAUAGGACGUUCGAUCUUAUUUUGUUGGUUUCUAAGAUUGACGUAAUGAUUAAUAGGGAUAGUUGGGGGCAUUAGUAUUCAAUUGUCAGAGGUGAAAUUCUUGGAUUUAUUGAAGACUAACUACUGCGAAAGCAUUUGCCAAGGAUGUUUUCAUUAAUCAAGAACGAAAGUUAGGGGAUCGAAGACGAUCAGAUACCGUCGUAGUCUUAACCAUAAACUAUGCCGACUAGGGAUCGGAUGAUGUUAAUUUUUAAUGACUCAUUCGGCGCCUUAC
rnacentral:rRNA from 1 species